UACGGAGGGUGCAAGCGUUGUUCGGAUUUACUGGGCGUAAAGCGCGCGCAGGUGGAUGAACAAGUCGGAAGUGAAAAUCUUGAGGCUCAACCUCGAGGCUGCUCCCGAAACUGUUCGUCUAGGGACUGGUAGAGGCUGGUAGAAUUCCCGGUGUAGCGGUGGAAAUGCGUAGAGAUCGGGAAGAAUACCCGUGGCGAAGGCGGCCAGCUGGGGCCAGGUCCGACAC
rnacentral:rRNA from 1 species